CACGUAGGGGACGAGCGUUGUCCGGAAUCAUUGGGCGUAAAGCGCGCGUAGGCGGCCCGGAAAGUCGGAUGUGAAAUCCCGGGGCUCAACCCCGGGCCUGCAUCCGAUACUGUCCUGCUCGAGUACUGGAGAGGAGAUUGGAAUUUACGGUGUAGCAGUGAAAUGCGUAGAUAUCGUAAGGAAGACCAGUGGCGAAGGCGAAUCUCUGGACAGUUACUGACACUGAGGCACGAAGGCCAGGGGAGCAAACGGG
rnacentral:rRNA from 1 species